rnacentral:rRNA from 1 species
UAAUACGUAGGGUGCGAGCGUUAAUCGGAAUUACUGGGCGUAAAGCGUGCGCAGGUGGCGUCGCAAGUCAGGCGUGAAAUCCCCGGGCUUAACCUGGGAAUUGCGCUUGAAACUACGAUGCUGGAGUGCGGCAGAGGAAGGUGGAAUUCCACGUGUAGCGGUGAAAUGCGUAGAGAUGUGGAGGAACACCGAUGGCGAAGGCAGCCUUCUGGGUCGACACUGACGCUCAUGCACGAAAGCGUGGGGAGCAAACAGGAUUAGAUACCCUGGUAGUCCACGCCCUAAACGAUGUCUACUAGUUGUUGGGGGAGUUAAAUCCCUUAGUAACGCAGCUAACGCGCGAAGUAGACCGCCUGGGGAGUACGGUCGCAAGAUUAAAACUUAAAUGAAUUGACGG